UACGUAGGGCGCAAGCGUUGUCCGGAAUCAUUGGGCGUAAAGAGCUCGUAGGCGGCCUGUUGCGUCCGCUGUGAAAUCCCGGGGCUCAACCCCGGGCGUGCAGUGGAUACGGGCUGGCUGGAGGCAGGCAGGGGAGAACGGAAUUCCCGGUGUAGCGGUGAAAUGCGCAGAUAUCGGGAGGAACACCGGCGGCGAAGGCGGUUCUCUGGGCCUGUACUGACGCUGAGGAGCGAAAGCGUGGGGAGCGAACAGG
rnacentral:rRNA from 1 species